YWGARGKCGCCCUUAGAGUUUGAUCCUGGCUCAGAACGAACGCUGGCGGCGUGCUUAACACAUGCAAGUCGAACGUGAUUCAGAGCUUGCUCUGAUGAAAGUGGCGCACGGGUGAGUAACGCGUGGAUAACCUGCCCUGGUAUCUGGGAUAACAUCUCGAAAGGGGUGCUAAUACCGGAUAAGCCUACGGGCUCUUCGGAGUCUGCAGGAAAAGGAGGCCUCUAUUUAUAAGCUUCCGUAUCAUGAUGGGUCCGCGUACCAUUAGCUAGUUGGUGGGGUAAUGGCCUACCAAGGCGACGAUGGUUAGCUGGUCUGAGAGGAUGAUCAGCCACACUGGAACUGAGACACGGUCCAGACUCCUACGGGAGGCAGCAGUGGGGAAUUUUGCGCAAUGGGGGAAACCCUGACGCAGCAACGCCGCGUGAGUGAUGAAGGCUUUCGGGUCGUAAAGCUCUGUCAGAGGGGAAGAAAUGAAACGUGCUAAUAUCACGGCUUCUUGACGGUACCCUCAAAGGAAGCACCGGCUAACUCCGUGCCAGCAGCCGCGGUAAUAC
rnacentral:rRNA from 1 species